rnacentral:rRNA from 1 species
AUUGAACGCUGGCGGCAGGCCUAACACAUGCAAGUCGAGCGGAUGAAUGGUGCUUGCUCCUGGAUUCAGCGGCGGACGGGGGAGUAAUGCCGAGGAAACUGCCUGGGAAUGGGGGAUGACGGCGGGGAACGGGCGCUAAUACCGCAUACGACCUGAGGGAGAAAUUGGUUGAUGUUCGGACAUCACGCUAACGGAUGAGCUUAGGUCGGAUUAGCUAGAUGGUGGGUGAAAGGCCUACUAAGGCGACGAUCGGUACCUGGUCUGAGAGGAUGAUCAGUCACCCUGGAACUGAGAACCGCUCCAGACUCCUCCGGGAGGAAGCAGUGGGGAAUAUCGGACAUUGGGCGAAAGCCUGCUCCAGACCUGCCGCGUGUGUGAAGAAGGUCUCCGGAUUGUAAAGUCCUUUAAGUUGGGAGAAAGGGCAGUAAGUUAAUACCUUGCUGUUUUGACGUUACCAAACGAAUAAGCACCGGCUAACUUCGUG